rnacentral:rRNA from 1 species
GACGAACGCUGGCGGCGUGCUUAACACAUGCGAGUCGAACGGAAAGGCCCUGCUUUUGUGGGGUGCUCGAGUGGCGAACGGGUGAGUAACACGUGCGUAACCUGCCCUUGACUUUGGGAUAACUUCAGGAAACUGGGGCUAAUACCGGAUAGGAGCUCCUGCUGCAUGGUGGGGGUUGGAAAGUUUCGGCGGUUGGGGAUGGACUCGCGGCUUAUCAGCUUGUUGGUGGGGUAGUGGCAUACCAAGGCGUUGACGGGUAGCCGGCCUGAGAGGGUGACCGGCCACACUGGGACUGAGAUACGGCCCAGACUCCUACGGGAGGCAGCAGUGGGGAAUAUUGCGCAAUGGGCGGAGGCCUGAUGCAGCAACGCCGCGUGCGGGAUGACGGCCUUCGGGUUGUAAACCGCUUUCGCCUGUGACGAAGCGUGAGUGACGGUAAUGGGUAAAGAAGCACCGGCUAACUACGUG